rnacentral:rRNA from 1 species
CCCUUAGAUGUUCUGGGCCGCACGCGUGUUACACUGAUGCGUUCAUCAAGCUUUCCUUGGCUCGAGAGGCCUCGGUAAUCUCGAAAGCGCAUCGUGCUGGGGAUAGAUUAUUGUAAUUUUUAAUCUUCAACGAGGAAUUUCUAGUAAACGCGAGUCAUCAACUCGCAUUGAUUACGUCCCUGUCCUUUGUACACACCGCCCGUCGCUACUACCGAUUGAAUUAUUUGGUGAGGUCCACGGAUUGUUAUUCUUCGCUUCGGCGACGGACUAUGAGAAGUGGAACGAACCUGAUGAUUUAGAGGAAGUAAAANUCGUAACA